GUCUGAAGCAAAAUUUUGAAAAUACAUUUGAUUCAUUUUUCAGUAGUUUACUGAUAGAUGGACUUAUUUUUUUGCAGUUAACAUUUAUAUACUGUCUGAGAUUAGAUUGUUAGACAUCAAUAAAUUUGUCAAUCUUCAAGGAAUGUUAUGAAACUUGGACAGAAGCUGGUUCAAGAUCAAGAAAUACCCGUAUUUUACUGAUAAAUGGACACAGUUUUUGGCAGUCAACAUUACACUUUAACCUUGACGGCAGCAAUAGCAGGCGAGACACAAGGUUCCGCGGAACCUUUACGAAUUGAUCUUGAUAUUUUGAAGAAAUGUAAAUCACAUUUCAAUAUAAGGGUUAAAUGUUGAAAUACAAAUAUACUUGAUCUAGAAAAUCGUAAAAUUUUAGACCCAGUCUUAUAAUUAUAGUUUUGAAUUGAGAGUUUUACGGUUUUAUGUGUUGUACUCUCAAAGUCAUGUUUUUAGCGUAAAAAUUUUUCUUUGAUUUUCUUUGGGUUGUUUACUGAAAAAUAACUUGCGACGGGCGUUGGAAAUUUUACCUUCUCGCGACUGGUAUUUUCCGCAAAUACCCCUGCUAAACAAGGUACAAUGUAUAUCUAUUCAUAGUAGCCACAUAUUAUAGGAAUAACGCUAUAAUAUCGGUUUUCAUCAUCACUCUUUUCUUAGAUUUCUUUCACAGAUGUACUUUUUUUACCGUAACAUCGACACUCCAUACAUGUACAUGUAGCUCUUAUUAUGUAAUACUGCCCGGACAGUUUCAUUGUUUAUCGUAAGGGAAAGGAAAAUUGGACAAGAGAACAGAAAAAUAAUAAGAACAUUUGUAGCUACUGAAAAAAAAAACGGGGAAAUUUCUUCCCAAUGAAAACUUGUGUAUUAAAAAAUAUUUGUUUAUUUUUUAGAAGCAGAUUGCUGUGUAUGGCAUCUUCUACCAGUGUUAUUGAAUUUUUUAUUUUUAAAAAAUUACAAUAACUUAAAAGCUUUAGGUUUUUUUUCUUCAGGAAAAAAGGAAGAUGUUUUUUUUUUUCUACAGGCAACACAAGUUGAACUCAAACAAUACAAAUGCUGUGAUUACAUCUUUUUCUCUUCUUUUUACAGCACAGGAAAAUGUGUGCCGAAGUUGAUUCUGGAACAAUAUCGGAGAUCAUGCUAGAAACAUUGAGAGCAAUUGUCGACGAAGAACAAACCGACACAUUCGAUACUUGUAUGAAAAGGGACAUUAAAACCGAACCUAUGGAUUAUUGAUUAUUCUUGUAAAAAAUUAAUAUUCAUAAUACCAUGUGACUAGAAAACACUUGUUUAAACUGGUAUCUAUACAGCGAGUAGAGUUAUUACUUGUAAUUUGGUAAUUAUUUCACAUGGAUUUUGAACAUCAGAAAAAAAUAAUAUCGAUCCAUAGGACAAUAGACUAUUUUCGUAUUACCAACUUUUGACUCUGGAGUAUAUAUUUUUCGCAGGUUACCUACUCUGUGUUAGGACACUCUGGUACUCGGUAAGGUAUGAGCAACUUAAAGAAGUAAAAUCAAGCUUACAAUCGGCACAAUUUGGGGGAAUUUUUUUAUGUUUUCUAUACACGACAAAAUCAUCGGAAAACUAUAAACUUUUCCCCCAAAUUGCACCGAUUAUGUGUUUGAUUUUACUUCUUUUGGUCGCUCCUACCUGACCGAAUACCAGAUGUUCUACCACAGAGUAGGUAUCCUGUCGAAAAAUUAUAUAAUCCGGAAUCAAAAGUUGGUAAUAUGAAAAUAGUCUAUUGUAACGUUAUAGUCUGUGAUACAUGUAUUCAACACGUGACCUACAUGUGGACUUUCUAUUUUAAUACUU
rnacentral:lncRNA from 1 species